CCUACGGGAGGCAGCAGUGGGGAAUAUUCCACAAUGGGCGCAACCCUGAUGCAGCAACGCCGCGUGAGUGAAGAAGUAUUUCGGUAUGUAAAGCUCUAUCAUCAGGGAAGAUCAUGCCGGUACCUAACUAAUCACCCACGGCUCACUACGUGCCAGCAGCCCACGUAAUACGUAGGGGGCAAGCGUUCUCCUGAUUCACUGGGUGGAGAGGGAGCGUAGACGGGUGGAUAGGUCUGGAGUGAAAGGCUGGGGCAUAACCCCUGGACUGCUGUGGAAACUGGCUGGCUGGAGUACAGGAGAGGUAAGUGGAAGUCCAAGUGUAGCGGUGAAAUGCGUAGAUAUGAGGAAGAACACCAGUGGCGAAGGCGGCUGACUGGACAGUAACUGACGUUGAGGCUCGAAAGCGUGGGGAGCAAACAGGAUUAGAUACCCUUGUAGUC
rnacentral:rRNA from 1 species